rnacentral:rRNA from 1 species
AAGCACCCCGACGAGGGGAGUGAAAUAGAUCCUGAAACCGGAUGCCUACAAGCAGUUGGAGCCCGCAAGGGUGACAGCGUACCUCUUGCAUAAUGGGUCAGCGACUUAAUCUGGCAAGCAAGCUUAAGCCGAUAGGUGUAGGCGCAGCGAAAGCAAGUCUUAAUAGGGCGACUAAGUUUGUCGGAUUAGACCCGAAACCGAGUGAUCUAGAUAUGAGCAGGUUGAAGGUGCGGUAACACGCACUGGAGGACCGAACCCACGUAUGUUGAAAAAUGCGGGGAUGACUUGUGUCUAGGGGUGAAAGGCCAAUCAAACUCGGAAAUAG